rnacentral:rRNA from 1 species
GUGUCAGCCGCCGCGGUAAUACGUAGGGUGCAAGCGUUAAUCGGAAUUACUGGGCGUAAAGCGUGCGCAGGCGGUUUUGUAAGUCAGAUGUGAAAUCCCCGGGCUUAACCUGGGAACUGCGUUUGAAACUACAAGGCUAGAGUGUGGCAGAGGGGGGUGGAAUUCCACGUGUAGCAGUGAAAUGCGUAGAGAUGUGGAGGAACACCGAUGGCGAAGGCAGCCCCCUGGGUUAACACUGACGCUCAGGCACGAAAGCGUGGGGAGCAAACAGGAUUAGAUACCCUCGUAGUCC